UUUAUGGAGAGUUUGAUCCUGGCUCAGGAUGAACGCUGGCGGCGUGCCUAAUACAUGCAAGUCGAGCGAACAGAUAAGGAGCUUGCUCCUUUGACGUUAGCGGCGGACGGGUGAGUAACACGUGGGUAACCUACCUAUAAGACUGGAAUAACUCCGGGAAACCGGGGCUAAUGCCGGAUAACAUGUUGAACCGCAUGGU
rnacentral:rRNA from 1 species